rnacentral:rRNA from 1 species
CCCUUAGAUGUUCUGGGCCGCACGCGUGCUACACUGAGUGGAUCAGCGGGUCAGGUUGCGCGAAAGUGUUUCCUAAUCUUUAAAUCCGCUCGUGAUGGGGAUUGACGGUUGCAAUUUUCCGUCAUGAACGAGGAAUACCUUGUAAGCGCGGGUCAUCAUCCCGCGCUGAAUACGUCCCUGCCCUUUGUACACACCGCCCGUCGCUCCUACCGAUUGAGUGGUACGGUGAGGCUUUGGGAUCUGAGCGGAAAGAGCGUUUCGCUGUUUCUGCCCGGAAAACUCAGUCGAACCUUAUCAUUUAGAGGAAGGAGAAGUCGUAACA